UCUCUGAUGCUUUACUUCUGUUGGCUGCUGGCAAGACUGAUUACUGUAUGAUUCGACUUGAAAAGGGCAGACUUAAGCUUAACAUAAAUCUUGGUGCUGGCGAGAGUGAGCUCUUCUCUCCCAGGGGCAGUCUCAAUGACAGCCAAUGGCAUCAUGUCAGCAUCGUACGCCGUGAGGCGAAUCUCACUAUGAAGGUGGAUGACAGCACAGUGAAAA